GGGGUGCUCGAGUGGCGAACGGGUGAGUAACACGUGAGUAACCUGCCCUUGACGUUGGGAUAACUUCAGGAAACUGGGGCUAAUACCGGAUAGGAGCUCCUGCUGCAUGGUGGGGGUUGGAAAGUUUCGGCGGUUGGGGAUGGACUCGCGGCUUAUCAGCUUGUUGGUGGGGUAGUGGCUUACCAAGGCUUUGACGGGUAGCCGGCCUGAGAGGGUGACCGGCCACAUUGGGACUGAGAUACGGCCCAG
rnacentral:rRNA from 1 species